CUGAAUGCAGGCACGCCGCGGAGCGGUUCGCGCACCAACGCUGACGUGGAUUAAUAAAACGGGGCGUUUCAUAUAAGUCUUUUAAUGAGUUUUCCUUUCCGAAGCGUUUUGGCGUUUACUUUGAUAUGAUUAAAUAAAACGGCACGUUUCACUGAAGCGGGAAGAUGAAAUUUUUGGGUUUUGCCCCUUUUCCUCUCUUUCGAUCUCACUAAACCCAUCGUGUUUCCCCUUCCCCCGUCUGAAACCCCUCACCGAGAUCACCUCUGCCAUCAAUCUCCCCCCAAACUCACUUUCGCAAGACUGAGUGGCUAUAAUACUCCUCCCCAUCUGGUGGUUUGUUCUUCGGGAGGGUUGCCUGCUUGUGGACUCCGUGGCGUAGAUUCGAGCCUCACAAAACCCUAGCCUUGAUUAACAGAUCUGAGAGAGGAUGAACAGUUUCAAUUGAAUUAUCCUGGGGCAUGUACGAUUUCUACAAAAUAGGUGAAGAACUAAAAAGGCAAAUUGGAGCAAUAGCCUACAUAGAAUGCAUCUCAAUGACGCAACAGAAUCUGAAGGCUAUCUUCGAUACCUCAAUCAAGUUGGUUCUUGAUCCUCCAAAGUCCAAAAAGCCAAAGAGAAAGCAGAGGACCUACAUUUUUCUGUGAUCAAUAUUCUAUUGUUCAGGGUUUUAAGCCAAUUAAGGAUGAUGAUUACUCUCCUUUUUCUCCAUUUUGGAUUUUAUCUUUGUGGUGAGUUCCAUACCCACACCUGCACAUGCUACUGUCAUCUACGACAAUGAUCAAAUCUGGGAUGAACAUUCUUGAAAUGGAAGUUUGAGGUUCAAAAAGGAAGGAUGAAGCCUUGAGAAAUGAGUAUCGGCUUCAAAAAAAUGAGGAUGGGCUGAUAAAACCAAUGACCAUAGGAAGCAUUUACAAUUAUGGAAACAAAUAUCUUCUCUAAAAACAGAAGGGGGUCAAGUCUUCAAAAGAGUUUGAAGUUCAGAAAAUGGACUGGAGAUUGAUUACGAUAAUCGUUUACAACUACUUUGGCAACACUAAGGGGGCUUUCUCAAAAGGCCUUCCACUAUAGUAUAGGAUUUGUAACCAAGAGUUAUGGUGAAUAAAUGUAAAGGCAAUGUAUUUGAGAAUGCUUGGUUGUAAACAUUACUCUUGAUUGUAAAUAUUUUGUAGUUCAGAAUGAAUAAGCAGUGGCAGUUUUGCAUUUUAUCUUCAUGUGACAGUUUUGCAAAGUGGUAUUUUUAUCUCUACCAA